AUGCUACAAACCAUACUAGAAUGGGGCAGAGAAGUGGAAAUUGAAAUCAAAGAAGACGAAGAAAUUCACAAGUCUGAUCCAUAUGAUUUUGUCUACAGUAACAUACCAAAAAAAACACAUGUGCUCAAACCGGAAGAGAAUUGCAGAUUAUGUCAUGCAAAAAAAUUCAAGUAUGAAACUAAGGGGUUAUGCUGCAGAAAAGGACAGAUAAGACUGGCCAAUCCAGAUACACCACCUGAACUCAUGAGACUUUGGACAAGCAACGACUCUGAUGCAAGACAUUUUCGGCAAAAUAUAAGAUUUUUCAAUGGACACUUCUCAUUUACUACUCUAUAUUGUCACCUUGACAGAGACACAACUGACAUGCGAACAGCUGGUAUUUACACCUUUCGAGCUCGUGGUCAGAUCUAU
rnacentral:rRNA from 1 species